GGAAGUAAAAGUCGUGACAAGGUUUCUGUAGGUGAACCUGCGGAAGGAUCAUUCAUAAUAAAGUGUUUUAUGGCACUUUUUAAAAAUCCAUAUCCACCUUGUGUGCAAUGUUAGAUCUCGUCAAUCUUGGCGAGAUUUUUAUACAUCAACUCAUUUUUUAACUAAUUUGUCUGAAAAAUAUUAUGAAUACUUAAUUCAAAAUACAACUUUCAACAACGGAUCUCUUGGCUCUC
rnacentral:misc_RNA from 1 species